GACGAACGCUGGCGGCGUGCCUAAUACAUGCAAGUAGGACGCAGUUGCGAACGGGUGAGUAACGCGUAGGUAACUACCUAUUAGAGGGGGAGAACUAUUGGAAACGAUAGCUAAUACCGCAUACUAGUAGAUGGACCUGCGUUGUAUUAGCUAGUAGGUAGGGGAAUGGCCUACCUAGGCAACGAUACAUACCCGCGCUGAGAGGGGCAUCGGCCACGCUGGGACUGAGACACGGCCCAGACGCCGACGGGAGGCAGCAGUAGGGAAUCUUCGGCAAUGGGGGGAACACUGACCGAGCAACGCCGCGUGAGUGAAGAGGGUUUUCGAAGAGUAAAGGUCUGUUGUUAAGGAAGCGGUACUUAACCAGAAAGGGACGGCUAACUACGUGCCAGCAGCCGCGGUAAUUC
rnacentral:rRNA from 1 species